GGCGAACGCUGGCGGCGGGCUUAACACAUGCAAGUCGAACGGCAAGGCCGUGCUUGUGUGGGGUGCCCGAGGGGCGAACGCGUGAGUGACACGUGUGUAACGUGCCCUUCACUUUCGGGUGACUUCACGAAACUGAGGCUAAUCCCGGAUAGGAGCUCCCGCUCGGUGGAGGGCGGGGGAACGUUUCGGCGGUUGCGGUUGGACGCGCGGCUUAUCAGCUUGCUGGUGGGGGAGUGGCUUACCAAGGCUUUGACGGGUCGCCGGCCUGAGAGGGUGACCGGGCACAAUGGGACUGAGAGACGGACCAGACUCGUACGGGGGGCAGCGGGGGGGAAUAUGGCACAAUGGGCGGGAGUGUGAGGAAGCGACGCCGGGUGCGGGAUGACGGUCUUCUGGGAGUAAACCGCUGUCGCCUGUGACGAAGCGGGAGUGACGGUAAUGGGUAAAGAAGCACCGGCUAACUACGUG
rnacentral:rRNA from 1 species